rnacentral:tRNA from 2 species
GGAGGAGUGCCUGAGUGGCCGAAAGGAGCGCACUGCUAAUGCGUUGUCUGGGUAACACCGGACCGUGGGUUCGAAUCCCACCUCCUCCG